AUGGAAGCGGGCGGCAGUAACCCUAGUAAAAAGAUUUCACAUAGCGAGGAGGUUGAGGAGUUGCUCGGCAGAUUGGCUCUCCAUGAAGAUCAGGGCGGCGAUUUCGUAUGGGAGGAGGAGGAGAAUCUGCCAGAUAUUCAAGCUAUGUGGUUAGCAAUUGAGAGGGUACACACAGACAAGGGAUUCAGUUCGUCGGCUUUGUACGCGGACAUGAGGUCUGCUUGGAAUCCCGCAAAGGGUGUGCAGUGGCGUAUGAUUGACACCAAUUUGUUCACAGUGCAGUUUGCAUGUCUUGGUGAUUGGUGUUGGGGAACGUAG
rnacentral:rRNA from 1 species